rnacentral:rRNA from 1 species
UACGUAGGGGGCGAGCGUUGUCCGGAGUUACUGGGCGUAAAGGGCACGCAGGCGGCGCUGCGCGUGUCGCGUGACAGCGGGAGGCUUAACUUCCCGAGGGUGCGACAGACGGCAGGGCUGGAGGGCCAGAGAGGGACACGGAAUUCCGGGUGGAGUGGUGAAAUGCGUAGAGAUCCGGAGGAACACCGAAGGCGAAGGCAGUGUCCUGGCUGGUUCCUGACGCUGAGGUGCGAAAGCCAGGGGAG